rnacentral:rRNA from 1 species
UACGGGGGGGGCAAGCGUUGUUCGGAAUUACUGGGCGUAAAGAGCUCGUAGGCGGCUUGUCGCGUCGUCCGUGAAAACUUGGGGCUCAACCCCAAGCUUGCGGUCGAUACGGGCAGGCUAGAGUUCGGUAGGGGAGACUGGAAUUCCUGGUGUAGCGGUGAAAUGCGCAGAUAUCAGGAGGAACACCGGUGGCGAAGGCGGGUCUCUGGGCCGAUACUGACGCUGAGGAGCGAAAGCGUGGGGAGCGAACAGG